UUCGGCCGUCCGAGUUGUAAUCUAGAGAAGCGUUUUCCGCGCUGGACCGUGUAUAAGUCUCCUGGAAGGGAGCGUCGUAGAGGGUGAGAAUCCCGUCUUUGACACGGACUACCAGUGCUAUGUGAUGCGCUCUCGACGAGUCGAGUUGUUUGGGAAUGCAGCUCAAAAUGGGUGGUAAAUUCCAUCUAAAGCUAAAUACAGGCGAGAGACCGAUAGCGAACUAGUACCGUGAGGGAAAGAUGAAAAGAACUUUGGAUAGAGAGUUAAACUUUCGUGUUAU
rnacentral:rRNA from 1 species